rnacentral:rRNA from 1 species
AUUGAACGCUGGCGGCAUGCUUUACACAUGCAAGUCGAACGGUAACAGGCCGCAAGGUGCUGACGAGUGGCGAACGGGUGAGUAAUGCAUCGGAACGUGCCCAGUCGUGGGGGAUAACGCAGCGAAAGCUGUGCUAAUACCGCAUACGAUCUAUGGAUGAAAGCGGGGGACCGUAAGGCCUCGCGCGAUUGGAGCGGCUGAUGUCAGAUUAGCUAGUUGGUGGGGUAAAGGCCCACCAAGGCGACGAUCUGUAGCUGGUCUGAGAGGACGACCAGCCACACUGGGACUGAGACACGGCCCAGACUCCUACGGGAGGCAGCAGUGGGGAAUUUUGGACAAUGGGCGCAAGCCUGAUCCAGCAAUGCCGCGUGCAGGAAGAAGGCCUUCGGGUUGUAAACUGCUUUUGUACGGAACGAAACGGUCUGGGUUAAUACCCUGGGCUAAUGACGGUACCGUAAGAAUAAGCACCGGCUAACUACGUGCCAGCCGCCGCCGUAA